UUGUUUAUCAAAAACAUGUCCUAUUGAUUUAAUUUUAGGUCUGACCUGCUCAAUGAUUUAUUUUAAUAGCUGCAGUAUAUUAACUGUACAAAGGUAGCAUAAUCAUUUGUCUUUUAAUUGAAGGCUGGUAUGAACGGUUGGACGAAAAGUGGACUUUCUUUAUCUAAUUUAUUUUGAAUUUAAUUUUUUAGUUAAAAAGCUAAAAUUUAUUUGUAAGACGAGAAGACCCUAUAGAAUUUUACUCUUAACUUGUAUUCUAUAUUUGUUUAAUUUUAUAAUUUAUUUUAUAGUUAAGUGUUUGGUUGGGGUGAUUUUGAGAUUUUUUUAACUCUCAAUUUUAAAUUUUUCAUUAAUUAAUGUUUUAUUGAUCCUGUAUUAUGGAUUAUAAGAAAAAAUUACCUUAGGGAUAACAGCGUAAUUCCUUUGGAGAGUUCAUAUCGAUGAAGGGGAUUGCGACCUCGAUGUUGAAUUAA
rnacentral:rRNA from 1 species